rnacentral:rRNA from 1 species
AGUGAACGCUGGCGGCAGGCCUAACACAUGCAAGUCGAGCGGCAGCGCGUCCGACCACCCUCGGGUGGUCGGAUGGCGGCGAGCGGCGGACGGGUGAGGAAUGCAUCGGAAUCUGCCUCGUUGUGGGGGAUAACGUAGGGAAACUUACGCUAAUACCGCAUACGACCUACGGGUGAAAGUGGGGGACCUUCGGGCCUCACGCGAUGAGAUGAGCCGAUGCCGGAUUAGCUAGUUGGCGGGGUAAAGGCCCACCAAGGCGACGAUCCGUAGCUGGUCUGAGAGGAUGAUCAGCCACACUGGAACUGAGACACGGUCCAGACUCCUACGGGAGGCAGCAGUGGGGAAUAUUGGACAAUGGGGGGCAACCCUGAUCCAGCCAUGCCGCGUGUGUGAAGAAGGCCUCGGUUGUAAGACGACUUAAGUACGAGGAGGAAGGUUUUAGUUUAAGUUAC